rnacentral:rRNA from 1 species
GUGGGGAAUAUUGGACAAUGGGCGAAAGCCUGAUCCAGCCAUGCCGCGUGUGUGAAGAAGGUCUUCGGAUUGUAAAGCACUUUAAGUUGGGAGGAAGGGCAGUAAGUUAAUACCUUGCUGUCUUGACGUUACCGACAGAAUAAGCACCGGCUAACUUCGUGCCAGCAGCCGCGGUAAUACGAAGGGUGCAAGCGUUAAUCGGAAUUACUGGGCGUAACGCGCGCGUAGGUGGUUUUGUAAGUUGGAGGUGAAAUCCCCGGGCUCAACCUGGGAACUGCCUCCAAAACUGCAUGACUAGAGUACGGUAGAGGGUAGUGGAAUUUCCUGUGUAGCGGUGAAAUGCGUAGAUAUAGGAAGGAACACCAGUGGCGAAGGCGACUACCUGGACUGAUACUGACACUGAGGUGCGAAAGCGUGGGGAGCAAACAGGAUUAGAAACCCUUGUAGUCC